AGAUCUAAUUUAAAAGAUAAGGAUGGGAAGCAAAAAGACUCAAAAACUCUGGUGUAAAUCUCUGGGCACAGUUCUCUCAACAAGGUAAACACGAGCUCACUGAAGCGAUGACUGUCUUCAUUGAUAUAUAAAACCUCUUUUCUCUCUCUCUCUCUCUCAGCAAAGGAAAAAAGGUUAUGUGUCUCCUCAGAUGGUUCUAACUGCUCAUUCCGCUGUUCUUCAGUCCUCUAAAUGAAUAAAUAUUUGGACUUUGAAACCAUCGAUUAUGAAGUUGGUAAGUGGAGACAUAUUUCCUACAAAGACUGUGUUGCGUAUUACUAAUUACUGAUUAAUGAUGAUUGAUCAUAUUAAGUUGUACUAUAGUGUAGUUUUCACUCUUCUAACAUCGACCCCUUAUGCGUGUUAUUCAUGCUUCCAAAUAUUAAAU